CCAUCUCACUUUUUGAUUUUCUGAGAAUAUAGAUAGGACAGAAAGAAUUAGGCCAAGGAACAAAGGCCAUAAGAAUUUAAGAUUUUUUUAUCUUCUCAAAGCUUCAAAAGUUAUCAUCUUGUGUGCUUGUAGUGAUAUUGGAUAAACAACACAUUAUAUUAUAUGAAUAGUUCUUAAUUCUUUGAUUACCUUUCAAGAUAUCAAACACUAAAAUGGAUCAACGGACUUUGCUAAGCAAUUACAAUCUCAUUGAGAGGGCACAGCAAGAAGAAGAAAAGAAGCAUGAAUCAGAUCACUUGUAUAUUGUAGUUAGUUUUCUUCAUCUAUCCUCUCUACAUAUUUUUAUAUGUAUUACUUUAUAUUUAUAUGAGGAAAAAUUAAUAAUAUUUUAGGAAAACUAUGAUAUUGGGUGAUUGUGCAUAAAAUUAGGAGCAAACAAUGAAAUUAAACUAUAUGAAGUAUUUUCAUAUUUGAAUAAAUAAAGACAAAAAUAAAAUAAGGAGAAUAGAAAAAUAUAGAUGUCAAGAAAAAGAAGAUAAAGAAUUUCUUUUAUAUAUUAUUGCCGAAAAUAUAGUGUUAAUUUACAAAUAGUAAUUUAAUUAUUUUGUUCACUUAUAUUGUCUUAGUCUGUUUCUUAUAUACUCUCCCUAAAUUUUGAGAGAAUAAAACUAAAUUAUUUAGAUGGUAGGAUAUAUUAUUUUUAAAAACAAAAAAUAAAGAGAGAGAGAGAGGACAUUUUAAAAAUAUUAUGAUGAAAAGAAAGGAACUAUCUGACUUUUGAUUUGUGCUUAAAUUUAGGGUUAAAGAUUUUAAUUAGGAAAGGCAUAUAAUUAACGUGUAGGAAAUAUUAUGAUGAAAAGAAUGUCUCUUUGGCUAGAAUUUUUAAUUAUUUUUUUCUCAGUUUUUUUUAAAUAUUUAAGUAUAAAAAAAUAUUAAAUUAUAUAUUUCACAUAUUUUAUGACUGCACGAAGCGCGGUUAAAUUUACUAGUUUUAUUAGAAUCUCAACUCAUUUUAUUAAUUUAAUUAUCUUUUUUUUUUAAAUAGGAGACAAUGUUUCUCUUUUUUUUUCUCCCUAAACCAAGAUGUGCCUAAAAGUGUGAUUUUAAUCGUUUGCCUUUUAUGAGUUUUCAUUAAAUAAUUGACAGUUUAGAAUUAUGUAAAUGAAUGAAAAAGUUAAUAUGAAUUAAAUUUAGAUAACUUUUAAUUUAUAUUUAAUUUUAAAAUAAUUCCCAAAUAAGGGUGAAGUUUAACUGCCCACCACAAAUGGAUAUAAUUUAAUUAUAUAAUUUAUUAUUAUUAUUAUUAUUAUUAUCCACAACUACUACAACACAUGUCACCUACUACUACUAUAUUAUUAUUAUUAUCUACUACUACUGCAUCACAAUGCCAUGUACUACUACUAUUUGUUGCUUUUACUACUCUUACUGCUAUAACUACUUAUUUAUGUAUUAUAUUUUUAUUUUUCAUAAUAUUUAAAUUAAAUAAAUUCAAAUAUAUAUAUUAAAAUAUUAAAAGGGAUAACUUUAUGAAUAGUAAGAGUUCAUUUAGAGUUGGUAUCCAAUUCAAAUUAUAGAAGAAUCUGUACCUAAAUUGUAGAGGAAUCUAUACCUGACAAUUCAAAUUCAAAAUUUAACACCAAUUCAAAUAACUAAUUUUUACCUAACUUUAUCCAAAAAUUAAUUUAAAAAAUAAAUUUUAUCUCUAAAAUUAAAUUGUAUUCUCUUGUAGUUUCAAUCUAGAACUAUUAAAAAAUAUUUCAAACUAAAUAAUUUUUGUCGGAAUGUAUUUUUAUCUAUAAGCUAAUUUUAAUAACUUUAUAUUUUAUAAUUGCGAUUUGUAAUAAUACAAACUGUAGAAUACUUUAUUAUACAAAAAUGCAACGCAAAUGAUAAUUCUUGAAAAAAUGGGAAUGGGAAAAUUUCUUUUUCUUUCUUUCUAAUUUUAUCAUUUUUCUCUUAUUAUUAUUACUACUAAGUUUUUCUAAAAUAUUAAGAUUGCUACAAUUACUUGUGUAUUACUACUACUAUUAUUAUUAUUGUUGUUGUUAUUAUUUAUUUUCAUAAUAUUAUAUUCUAUACAACAACAACAACAACAUACCAAGUGUAUUCCCACCUAGUGAGGUCUGUGGAGGGUAGAGUAUACACAGACCAUAUCACUACCUCAAGAGAAGUAGAGAGACUGUUUUCGAUAAUAUUAUAUUCUAUAUUAUACUUAAAUAUAUUUUAUAACAUUGAAAGAAUUACUUUAUAAAUAAUAAGAGUUCAUUUAGAACUCUUCAAUGUUAGGUUUUUAGUUUCAAGCCAAUGAUAAUCCUUUUUUAAGAGAAAUCUAAUUUUUUCAAAUUCAAAUAUCCCUAUCUUUUAAUUUAAAUUUUUUGUUACAACAUUCUAUUAAUCUUAUCUUAAAAGUGCCAAGUGGCUUAUUCUUAUGCUGUCACUUGACUUCUUCUGGUGCUUCGUUCUUUGCUUUAUAAUAUACUAAUAUAUUAUAUUCUAUAUAAUACUUAAAUAUAUUUUAUUACAUUGAAAAUAAUUACUUUAUGAAUAGUAAGAGUUCAUUUAGAACUCUUCAAUGUUAGGUUUAUAGUUUCAAUCUAAUGAUAAUCUUUUUUAAAAGAAAUCUAAUAUUUUCAAAUUCAAAUAUCCCUAUCUUUUAAUUUAAAUUUUUUAUUACAACUUUCUAUUAACCUUGUCUUAAAAGUGCGAAGUGGCUUAUUCUUAUACUAUCACUUGGCUACUUCUGAUGUUUCGUCCUCUGCUUUAUAAUAUACUAAUAUAUGUACCCGCGUGAUGUGCGGAACAUUUUUUUAAAAUAUUAUUCAUUAAAAUUGUUAACUUCUUCACACAAGAUUAAUCAAAUUUUAUUGUAAAAAAUUAACAUAUUCCAAGGUCAAUGAAAUGUUAAAAAUAAUCAUUAAUAGUGAAAUUACAAUUGAUACUUAAUAACUAAUCACAAUUACAAUUAUACUAAAUGUUUUGAUAUAAAAUAUGUUUUCUUUUUAUUCUAUCGAUUAAUUUUAAAAAAUAGUAAACUAUAAACUAUAAAAUAAUUAUUAUUUUUAUUGUUGGAAUUUUAACUUUAUAUUUUAAUCAACUAAGACUUGUAAUUAAUCCCUUACCUUUCAUUUCAUUUUUUUUUAAAUCUAUUAAUUCAACUUCAUCUAUUAACUGAAUCUUUUUUAAAUAAAAUAUCUUUCAAGUCAUUUCAAACACUAAAAAUACUUAACUUUGUCAAUUACAAAACUUCUAAUUCUAAAUUUUCGAUUUCACAAUUUUAAUUUAAAAACUAAUUAAGCACAUAGAAUUUAUUAUUUGUUCUUUUAAAUUUCAGGAUUUGUUCUAUUAUUAUAAUAUUUUUUAUUGUUUGAUUUCAUCAUUAAUAACUUUAAAUAUUUUAUUAUACUUAUUGUUAUAUCUUCUAUAUUAAUUCAAUUAAAAGUUUUUAUGCUACUCUCAAAAUCACUGAUCCCACCAAAUCUCACACUCAUCCUUCAUCUCUACUCCGCUACCCCACCCUUAAUUUUUUUUUUAAAAUUUUUAAAUUAUUGUUAAAUUAUUUGCUCACUCCCCCUACAAAUAAAAUAAUUUUUUUAUUUUUAUAUAAAAAAAUUCCCACACCAUCCACCCCAAUCCCCUUACUAAACGCCUUCCCCACUCCCUCUUCCUAUUUUGUUCUAUUAUUUUUAAAACCGUUUUAAAAACUUUUCCUUAUUCUCACCUCCUGUCUCGACCCCAAAAAAAUUUAAACUUUUUACUUUUUUUUUUAAGAAAAAGAAUUUUUUUUGUAUCCCCACCCUAAAACGUCACCUACAUCCACUACUCCAUCUUUCCCCACCCACCUAGCCCCGAUCCGACUACUAUAUUUUCCUACCCUCAUCUUCCCCCAUCUUUUUUUUUGUUUAAUUUAUGAUUUUAUUAAUCAAAAAUAGUCCCGAUGGACCAACCCAUCUAAAAAAAUCCAACAAAUUACAAUUGAUGUAAACAAAAGGACCAGACCAAAACAUUGACCCGACCCAAUAAAACAAACAGAUAAAAGAGAGUAGGGUUUCCUAAUUGAGCUUAGAGCUAAGCUCUCUUUCACUCAGCCUCCUUCAUCAUGUCUUCUUUCAUUAAGGUGCAGUUCUAUCUUCUUCAGUUGUGGGUACUUAAUACUAUGCCAUGGAUACUCCGGCUUGGAGUUUUGUCCAGCUUGCAUGAGUAAGUAGCUUCCUUCAUUCUUCUGGUUGAUGCUUUCUCCUUCUUUAAGUUCCUGACUUGCUUAUUUGCUUGCUAAUAUCUCAGGUGAUAUCUCCAGCUUAUGGAUGCUACUAAUGUUUUUUGGAGCUAACACAUCGG
rnacentral:lncRNA from 1 species